rnacentral:rRNA from 1 species
UACAGAGGGGGCAAGCGUUGUUCGGAAUUACUGGGCGUAAAGCGCACGUAGGUGGCUUGGCAAGUCGGGUGUGAAAUCCCCGGGCUCAACCUGGGAACUGCAUUCGAGACUGCCUUGCUCGAGUAUGGGAGAGGGAAGUGGAAUUUCCGGUGUAGCGGUGAAAUGCGUAGAUAUCGGAAGGAACAUCAGUGGCGAAGGCGACUUCCUGGACCAAUACUGACACUCAGGUGCGAAAGCGUGGGGAGCAAACAGG